rnacentral:rRNA from 1 species
AGAGUUUGAUCCUGGCUCAGAUUGAACGCUGGCGGCAUGCUUUACACAUGCAAGUCGAACGGCAGCACGGGGGCAACCCUGGUGGCGAGUGGCGAACGGGUGAGUAAUAUAUCGGAACAUAUCCGGAAGUGGGGGAUAACGUACCGAAAGGUACGCUAAUACCGCAUAUGCCCUGAGGGGGAAAGGGGGGGAUCGCAAGACCUCUCGCUUUCGGAGUGGCCGAUAUCGGAUUAGCUAGUUGGUGAGGUAAAGGCUCACCAAGGCGACGAUCCGUAGCUGGUCUGAGAGGACGACCAGCCACACUGGAACUGAGACACGGUCCAGACUCCUACGGGAGGCAGCAGUGGGGAAUUUUGGACAAUGGGCGAAAGCCUGAUCCAGCCAUGCCGCGUGAGUGAAGAAGGCCUUC